AACGAACGCUGGCGGCAUGCCUAACACAUGCAAGUCGAACGAAGGCUUCGGCCUUAGUGGCGCACGGGUGCGUAACGCGUGGGAAUCUGCCCUUUGCUUCGGAAUAACAGUUAGAAAUGACUGCUAAUACCGGAUGAUGUCGCAAGACCAAAGAUUUAUCGGCAAAGGAUGAGCCCGAGUAGGAUUAGCUAGUUGGUGGGGUAAAGGCCUACCAAGGCGACGAUCCUUAGCUGGUCUGAGAGGAUGAUCAGCCACACUGGGACUGAGACACGGCCCAGACUCCUACGGGAGGCAGCAGUGGGGAAUAUUGGACAAUGGGCGAAAGCCUGAUCCAGCAAUGCCGCGUGAGUGAUGAAGGCCUUAGGGUUGUAAAGCUCUUUUACCCGGGAUGAUAAUGACAGUACCGGGAGAAUAAGCUCCGGCUAACUCCGUG
rnacentral:rRNA from 1 species